rnacentral:rRNA from 1 species
CAGUCGCCGCGGGAAUACGAAGGGGGCUAGCGUUGCUCGGAAUGACUGGGCGUAAAGGGCGCGUAGGCGGAUCACGCAGUCAGAUGUGAAAUUCCUGGGCUUAACCUGGGGGCUGCAUUUGAGACGCGUGGUCUAGAGUGUGAAAGAGGGUCGUGGAAUUCCCAGUGUAGAGGUGAAAUUCGUAGAUAUUGGGAAGAACACCGGUGGCGAAGGCGGCGACCUGGUUCAUGACUGACGCUGAGGCGCGAAAGCGUGGGGAGCAAACAGGAUUAGAUACCCCAGUAGUCCCUGUCUCUUAUAC